GGCCUCACUGGUUUCGCUACCAAGGAAAUAAGCUUUUUUGGUUCGGCGGUGUAUAGCAGGUGGCAGACAGUGGGCAUUCUCUCGCGAAAUGGUACUGAAGGGGUGUAAAGCAUUGAGGCGAAUGUAUGGGAUGCGCACUGUUUGGUCGUUUGGUUUGAACGUCACGCAAGUAGGCCUAUCGGAUACUAUCGAUAACGCGUAUACAAAAGCAGUCAGAUUCACAAGGGCCUCUGCCACUAUGUGUAUGUAGAAAAGGAUUUACAACAACUAGUUGUGCACAUGCUUGUGAGUGGACUUCAGAGACUGAAUAUGUAGGCACUAGGAAAGCCAAUAAUGGAGAAGUUUUAAUAUUUGACAUGGGCUAAUUUUUGAAUUCCUGAAACAUCUGCAUUUGUAAUAAUUACAA